rnacentral:RNase_P_RNA from 1 species
ACAGUCGGCCGGCUUGUCGCUGUUGCCGCAAGGCAAAAGAGGAAAGUCCGGGCAGCGCAGAGCACUCCACUUCCUAACAGAAAGCUGCUUGUGAAGGCAGAGUAACGCAGAAGAAAAUAACCGCCCGCAAGGGUAAGGGUGAGAAGGUGGGGUAAGAGCCCACCGGCCGUGCAGCGAUGUACGGGCCGUGUGUCUUGGAGGCUGCAAGUUCAUGUAAACCGGCGUUUGAGGGUUGCUCGCCCAAGCCGGAGGGUAGAACGCUUUAACAAUGUGGUGACACAUUGUAUAGAUGAAUGACAGGCACCCCGUAUGGGGCACAGAACCCGGCUUAUAGGCCGACUGAAACA